GCGCAGCAGUCGCGAAAACUCCGCAAUACGCGAAAGCGUGACGGGGCCAUCCCGAGUGCCGUCCGCUGAGGAUGGCUUUUCCCUAGUGUAGAUAGCUGGGGGAAUAAGGAGAGGGCAAGUCUGGUGUCAGCCGCCGCGGUAAUACCAGCUCUUCGAGUGGUAGGGAUGUUUAUUGGGCCUAAAGCGUCCGUAGCCGGCCAAGCAAGUUUCCCGUUAAAUCCAGCGAUCCAAUCGUUGGGCUGCGGGAAAUACUGUUAGGCUAGGGGGCGGGAGAAGCCGACGGUAUGUCCGGGGUAGGGGUAAAAUCCUAUAAUCCCGGGAAGACCACCAGUGGCGUAGGCGGUCGGCUAGCACGCGCUCGACAGUGAGGGACGAAAGCUGGGGUAGCGAACCGGAUUAGAUACCCGGGUAGUCC
rnacentral:rRNA from 1 species